UAAAUGGGACACAUAGACGUGGGUGUAGGGCUGGGUAGAUCAAGGGGAAGGUUUGAGACUACAUGGGACACAUAGACCUGGGUGUAGGGCUCGGUAGAUCAAGGGGUAGGUGUGGGACUA